AUGGCCUACCAGCCUCUUCAAGGAUGGCUGGCAUGGGCCCUUCACCUGGGAGUUGAACUGCAGCGCAGGAUUUUAAUUUGGGGAAAAUUAAAUAACCUGAUAAAAGAGUGGAUUUGAGAAAUAAGUGAAAGCAAGAAUCUUCCUUGGGCGGCGCCUGUGGCUCAGUGAGUACGGCGCCAAAUCUUCCACAGUUGGAGGAAAAACGUUUAGGGAUUAGGGGUCCAUUCAAAAGGUACUGAUAUUGAUGCGUUGUGUGUUGCCCAAGACAUGGUGAUCAAAGUGACUUUUUUACCUCAUUCUAUGAUAAGUCGAAAUUACAGGAAGAAGUAAAAGAUUUCAGACUGUGGAAGAGGCAUUGGUACCAGUUAUCAAACUCUGUUUUGACAGAAUAGAGAUUGAUAUUUUGUUUGCAAGAUUAGCAUUACAGACUAUUCCAGAAGAUUUGGAUCUAUGAGAUGAUAGUCUACUUAAAAAUUUAGAUAUAAGAUGCAUAAGAAGUCUUAAUGGUUGCAGGGUAACCGAUAAAAUUUUACAUCUAGUACCAAACAUUGACAACUUCAGGUUAACUCUGAGAGCUAUCAAACUAUGGGCCAAAUGCCACAACAUCUAUUCCAAUAUAUUAGGUUUCCUUGGUGGUGUUUCCUGGGCUAUGCUAGUAGCAAGAACUUGCCAGCUUUAUCCAAAUGCAAUAGCAUCAACUCUUGUACAUAAAUUUUUCUUGGUAUUUUCUAAAUGGUAUAUGUUUAGAUUAUAUUAAAAUAAAAUUGAUGGUAGACACUGAAAAAA